rnacentral:misc_RNA from 1 species
GAUGAAGAACGCAGUGAAAUGCGAUAAGUAAUGUGAAUUGCAGAAUUCAGUGAAUCAUCGAAUCUUUGAACGCACAUUGCGCCCCUUGGAAUUCCAUGGGGCAUGCCUGUUCGAGCGUCAUUUGUACCUUCAAGCUCUGCUUGGUGUUGGGUGUUUGUCUCGCCUCUGCGUGUAGACUCGCCUCAAAACAAUUGGCAGCCGGCGUAUUGAUUUCGGAGCGCAGUACAUCUCGCGCUUUGCACUCAUAACGACGACGUCCAAAAGUACAUUUUUACACUCUUGACCUCGGAUCAGGUAGGGAUACCCGCUGAACUUAAGCAUAUCAAUAAGCGGAGGA